rnacentral:misc_RNA from 1 species
GAUGAAGAACGCAGCGAAAUGCGAUACGUAAUGUGAAUUGCAGAAUUCAGUGAAUCAUCGAGUCUUUGAACGCACAUUGCGCCCCCUGGUAUUCCGGGGGGCAUACCUGUCCGAGCGUCAUUGCUGCCCUCAAGCACGGCUUGUGUGUUGGGCCUCCGUCCUCCUCCCGGGGGACGGGCCCGAAAGGCAGCGGCGGCACCGCGUCCGGUCCUCGAGCGUAUGGGGCUUCGUCACCCGCUCUUGUAGGCCCGGCCGGCGCUUGCCGACACAUCAAUCUUUUUUCCAGGUUUACCUCGGAUCAGGUAGGGAUACCCGCUGAACUUAAGCAUAUCAAUAAGCGGAGGA